UCUCCGUUGGUGAACCAGCGGAGGGAUCAUUACCGAGUUUACAACUCCCAAACCCCUGUGAACAUACCAUUUGUUGCCCCGGCGGUGCCUGCUUCGGCAGCCCGCCAGAGGACCCAAACCCUUGAUUUUAUACAGUAUCUUCUGAGUAAAUGAUUAAAUAAAUCAAAACUUUCAACAACGGAUCUCUUGGUUCUG
rnacentral:misc_RNA from 1 species